GAGCGAAAGGGAAUACGGUUCCAAUUCCGUAACCUGUUUGAGUAUACGUUUGUUGAUAAAAAUGGGUUCAUUAUAUAUGCACUCAUCCUGGUAACAGAAACAACCAUAGAGAAGCCUUCGAGAAAUACUGAAAGAGUUUUCUUUUCUGUUGAACAAUUGUAUCACCAUGGAAGUCUUUUACAGAGAGAUAUGGUGAAUGAAUUGGAAGAGCAUGACAUUUACUGUUGUGUCAGUAUUAUCUCCUUGGACCUUGAAAAUCUAUGGUAGGGCCACGCAAACAUCUCAACAGACCGUACCGAUAUCCGCAGCCGGUCUNNA
rnacentral:rRNA from 1 species